rnacentral:tRNA from 1 species
GCCUGGCUGGCUCAGUCCAUAGAGCUUGUGACUCUUGAUCUCAGGGUUGUGAGUUCAAGCCCCAUGUUGGGUA